GAUGAACGCUGGCGGCGUGCCUAAUACAUGCAAGUCGAACGCUUUGUCUUUAAUUGAUUUGAAGAGCUUGCUCUGAUUUGAUUUUAUCUGACAAAGAGUGGCGAACGGGUGAGUAACACGUGGGUAACCUACCUCUUAGCAGGGGAUAACAUUUGGAAACAAGUGCUAAUACCGUAUAACACUAACAACCGCAUGGUUGUUAGUUGAAAGAUGGUUCUGCUAUCACUAAGAGAUGGACCCGCGGUGCAUUAGCUAGUUGGUAAGGUAAUGGCUUACCAAGGCGAUGAUGCGUAGCUGAGUUGAGAGACUGAUCGGCCACAAUGGGACUGAGACACGGCCCAUACUCCUACGGGAGGCAGCAGUAGGGAAUAUUCGACAAUGGGCGCAAGCCUGAUGGAGCAACGCCGCGUGUGUGAUGAAGGGUUUCGGCUCGUAAAACACUGUUAUAAGGGAAGAACGACAUUGAGAGUAACUGUUCAGUGUGUGACGGUAUCUUAUCAGAAAGGAACGGCUAACUACGUG
rnacentral:rRNA from 1 species